GUGGGGAAUAUUGGACAAUGGGCGCAAGCCUGAUCCAGCCAUGCCGCGAGAGUGAUGAAGGCCCUAGGGUUGUAAAGCUCUUUCACCGGUGAAGAUAAUGACGGUAACCGGAGAAGAAGCCCCGGCUAACUUCGUUCCAGCAGCCGCGGUAAUACGAAGGGGGCUAGCGUUGUUCGGAAUUACUGGGCGUAAAGCGCACGUAGGCGGGUAUUUAAGUCAGGGGUGAAAUCCCAGAGCUCAACUCUGGUACUGCCUUUGAUACUGGGUACCUAGAGUAUGGAAGAGGUAAGUGGAAUUCCGAGUGUAGAGGUGAAAUUCGUAGAUAUUCGGAGGAACACCAGUGGCGAAGGCGGCUUACUGGUCCAUUACUGACGCUGAGGUGCGAAAGCGUGGGGAGCAAACAGGAUUAGAUACCCGUGUAGUCC
rnacentral:rRNA from 1 species